GCGGCCAGGGCCGCCAUGUGCCUGGUGUGCGGCCGGGUGCGUUGCGAUGGGAGACCCACCUAGACCCGGCCCUGGUGGCCAUGGGACGCAGCGACUCAGUCAGGAAAAGGGCAGGCGGUCGGAGAGGGGAAGUCGAGGUGGCUGAAACAACGCUGCCCCGCGGAGAUCGCGGGCCUCAAGGGACUGCCCUCCCAUCCUCCAUCCCCGCAAGGACUAAGGCCAAGCCGCGGCAGCCGCAGCCGCCGCCCCCUCUCCUCUCGUCCCCGGUCCCGGAGGCUCUGGGGUGCUGCCGCCACUGCAACUUUCUCCUGUGAUACCCCCUCUUUGUUAUGGAGCAGCUGAUCCGCUGACAUCACCCGGCGCCGGUGCGCUCCCUCCCUCGUUGAUUGACAGUUCCCUGUCCUUUCCCAGAAGUGAGGAUCCUUAGAACCCAAGGUGCUCCGGAGCUGCGCCGCCUCUUAAGACCAGGCAGUGGGCAGACCAGGCGGCGUUUACCUUUUGGCUUGGUUCACUGUUCGCCAGCCACGCGGUCCAGGUCGCCGCCGGCUGUUCGCUAGCGCCGGGGGCCUCGAGGGUACCCGCCUGGGGUGGGUGAGGGGCUCAGAGCACCUGAUACCCCACGAUGUGCCACCAGGGACUUGGAAGUGCGUCAUGCUGGGUGUUCCUACCACUAUCUCACUCCUGGACAGCUGGAGCGCACUCGGAACUAAGGAAGCCUUUGGUUCCUGAGCUUCUACUUCCUCUUGCCCUCGAGCCCCACUUCACUCGGCUCGCUACUGCCCAGAGUUGCAAAGUGCGGCGGGCCCAGGAGCGCAGGUGCCCCGUCCCCCUUCCACUGCCCAGCGCUGCCUCCACAAGCCAGUUCCCUCGACUCCAGGGGGCGUCCUGCGUCCUGGAUUCCUCCCGACUGAACGUCCUACCCAGGAGUCCCCAGUCUCCAUCUUCUUUCGCAUCUCCAGGCCCCUAGAGAGAUCCAGGAAUUCAGCAAACCCAAAUGGCAGCAGGCUGGUAAUCAGGCCGCACCCGAGCUUUGGCCGAUUCCUUCUCCUUGUCUUGAAGAUGGAGCCACCAAGCGGAGAGCCGGAGCCAGGACCCUGUGUCUAGCGCUCCUCCUUCUCUCGCCUCCGGUCCUGUAUUUGUGAUGUCCCUAGAUGUUUCUUUAGUUUCUCCAAGUGCCAACCACUUCACAGACUCAGGCAUCUUUGAGGGAAGAAAACUCCCUUCCCAGCCCAGCCACUUAAAGAGUGUCAUUAUGUCCUCUUACAGGUGGCAGCAAAGGAUCUCUUUAAAUAGCGGGUUAAAUGCAUGCGCAUGUACCCAAUGUACUGUGGAAUUACCCGGUGCUGGUCUGGCCUUCUGCCAAGAACAGUCAUCGUGGCGGGUGGGAAGGAUGGGGCAGGAACCAAAGAAAGUUGUUCCUUUUCGUUUUCUGAACAAUAAAUGAGGCAGGAUUUCAAGUCACUUCCAAAGCCUGAGAGAGUCCCCCCCCUCCUUAAUUUCUUAAAUGCCUUUUUUUUUUCAUUUUCUUUUUCUUUUUUAUUUAAGGCAGGAUCUCCUGUAGCCCGGUCUCUCACCUCUAACUCACUGUAUACAGGAAGACGAUUUUGAGCUAAUCAUCCCGCCUCUAUCUUCACAGCCCCAAUAGCAGAUGCUCAUCUCCUUCAGUUACUAGACAAUAAAAACGAUGAAAACCGAAGGAAGAAGCAAAAAUAAAUUUAUUUCUUUACUGAAAGAAGAGGAGAAUGUCCUCUUGGAGGAGUGCGGUUAGCCCCGGUGUUAGGAGCAGCCUACCUGUGUCAAGAGCCUUUCCAUGUGCUGCUUUGAGAGUGUUUGGAACCGGCGCCCAUUCCCUGCCUCUACAGAAAUGGAUCUCGAAUGUGCCUAGAAGGAUCUGGGGCUGAGGCCGCCACUACUCCUAGCCCCUUGAUGAUUCAGGAAUGCCUCUACUGGCUGAGCACGCCCUCCGUCCCUCAGUGAUCCAGUCAGACAGGAAUUCAUCACUGAGCCACUACUCCGGACUCCCAGCUCCUAGCUCAUGUCCCUGCAGUGUAUCCAGUAAACUAAAUUUAGACCCUCGGGGACAACAGAGAAGGAGCCAUGUGGCCCAGAUCUCUGUCUUCGUGUGCGGUGGGCUAUAUGACAUGCUUGCCUUCUCCGAUCUGAAAACCUAGGCUAGAUUUGGGUCUAGUGAAACAACUUGGGGGUUGGGGAAAAGGCUACAAUCGGAAACUGCGCAUUUCUGUAACAAUAACUUCAGACAAAGUAAGAUGAAGAGGUUUGAAAAAUAAAUACAAUUGCCAUGAAAACCAAA
rnacentral:lncRNA from 1 species